AUCCAGAGGGUGCGAGCGUUAAUCGGAAUUACUGGGCGUAAGGCGCGCGUAGGCGGCUUAUUAAGUCAGAUGUGAAAUCCCCGGGCUCAACCUGGGAACUGCAUCUGAUACUGGUAAGCUCGAGUUUUGGAGAGGGAAGUAGAAUUUCAGGUGUAGCGGUGAAAUGCAUAGAGAUCUGAAGGAAUACCAGUGGCGAAGGCGACUUCCUGGCCAAAAACUGACGCUGAGGUGCGAAAGCGUGGGUAGCAAACGGGAUUAGAAACCCGAGUAGUCC
rnacentral:rRNA from 1 species